rnacentral:rRNA from 1 species
UUGGAGGGCAAGUCUGGUGCCAGCAGCCGCGGUAAUUCCAGCUCCAAUAGCGUAUAUUAAAGUUGUUGCAGUUAAAAAGCUCGUAGUUGAAUUUCGGGGUUAGUAGGUUGGUCAUGCCUCAGGUAUGUACUGAUCUCACUGAUUCCUCCUUCCUGAUGAACCGUAAUGCCAUUAAUUUGGUGUUGCGGGGAAACUGGACUGUUACUUUGAAAAAAUUAGAGUGUUUAAAGCAGGCUAACGCUUGAAUACAUUAGCAUGGAAUAAUGAAAUAGGACGUUCGAUCCUAUUUUGUUGGUUUCUAGGAUUGACGUAAUGAUUAAUAGGGAUAGUUGGGGGCAUUAGUAUUCAAUUGUCAGAGGUGAAAUUCUUGGAUUUAUUGAAGACUAACUACUGCGAAAGCAUUUGCCAAGGAUGUUUUCAUUAAUCAAGAACGAAAGUUAGGGGAUCGAAGACGAUCAGAUACCGUCGUAGUCUUAACCAUAAACUAUGCCGACUAGGGAUCGGAUGAUGUUAAUUUUUUAAUGACUCAUUCGGCGCCUUACGGGAAA